CACUAUACCAUACACUGUAGAAGAGAGGAGAAAGAGUUGCUGUGAAGUUCCUCACUAUACCAUACACUGUAGAAGAGAGGAGAAAGAGUUGCUGUGAAGUUGCUCACUAUACCAUACACUGUAGAAGAGAGGAGAAAGAGUAGCUGUGAAGUUGCUCACUAUACCAUACACUGUAGAAGAGAGGAGAAAGAGUUGCUGUGAAGUUGCUCACUAUACCAUACACUGUAGAAGAGAGGAGAAAGAGUUGCUGUGAAGUUGCUCACUAUACCAUACACUGUAGAAGAGAGGAGAAAGAGUUGCUGUGAAGUUCCUCACUAUACCAUACACUGUAGAAGAGAGGAGAAAGAGUUGCUGUGAAGUUGCUCACUAUACCAUAAACUGUAGAAGAGAGGAGAAAGAGUUGCUGUGAGGUUCCUCACUAUACCAUACACUGUAGAAGAGAGGAGAAAGAGUUGCUGUGAAGUUGCUCACUAUACCAUACACUGUAGAAGAGAGGAGAAAGAGUUGCUGUGAAGUUCCUCACUAUACCAUACACUGUAGAAGAGAGGAGAAAGAGUUGCUGUGAGGUUCCUCACUAUACCAUACACUGUAGAAGAGAGGAGAAAGAGUUGCUGUGAAGUUGCUCACUAUACCAUACACUGUAGAAGAGAGGAGAAAGAGUUGCUGUGAAGUUCCUCACUAUACCAUACACUGUAGAAGAGAGGAGAAAGAGUUGCUGUGAAGUUCCUCACUAUACCAUACACUGUAGAAGAGAGGAGAAAGAGUUGCUGUGAAGUUGCUCACUAUACCAUACACUGUAGAAGAGAGGAGAAAGAGUUGCUGUGAAGUUCCUCACUAUACCAUACACUGUAGAAGAGAGGAGAAAGAGUUGCUGUGAAGUUGCUCACUAUACCAUACACUGUAGAAGAGAGGAGAAAGAGUUGCUGUGAAGUUCCUCACUAUACCAUACACUGUAGAAGAGAGGAGAAAGAGUUGCUGUGAAGUUCCUCACUAUACCAUAAACUGUAGAAGAGAUGAGAAAGAGUUGCUGUGAAGUUCCUCACUAUACCAUACACUGUAGAAGAGAGGAGAAAGAGUUGCUGUGAAGUUCCUCACUAUACCAUAAACUGUAGAAGAGAGGAGAAAGAGUUGCUGUGAAGUUCCUCACUAUACCAUACACUGUAGAAGAGAGGAGAAAGAGUUGCUGUGAAGUUGCUCACUAUACCAUAAACUGUAGAAGAGAUGAGAAAGAGUUGCUGUGAGGUUCCUCACUAUACCAUAAACUGUAGAAGAGAGGAGAAAGAGUAGCUGUGAAGUUCCUCACUAUACCAUACAGAGAAAGGACAAAGAAGAAUGGCUACAGCACAGUAGGUU